CCUUUACACAGAGUGGAUAACAACAAAGGCAAAUUAGAGCAACAGUAGGAUGGCCUGAAGCCAUUGCCUCAACAAGCAGGCUGUUUAUCAGGGUGUUAUCUCCCUACUGAGUGGGUGUCAAAUGGAAGCACAGAGGGUAUUUGGUGAAUAGAACUGCGGAAAUACUGAACUACCCAACUACCUCUUCAUGCUUGAAUCUCAAAAGUGCUUUACAAAGGAGUGGAGGACCGGAGUCAACGGGAGAGCGAUCGGCAGUCAACUACACCCACUAAAUCAACCCCCGGUGUAUUGAUUUCCGAACAUCGAUCCCCCAGUCCACUCCACUCUCUUCAGACACAGCAAGAGCCAUCAAAGACAGCAGUGUGAGUGAGCGUGUGGCGGGAACAUGGAUAGGACACACCCAAUAUAUUUGCCUAGUUUGAGUGCUGGGCAUCCAUGCCCUACCACUAGUCCCCAGCUUUAGAGAGGAGAAAAACACAGUUUACAAAGAACAUCUCCAAAGGUUCAGGUACUUAAAAACCUGGUCCCUCUGAGACCUUACUAUGUGCCUUCCUCCAGACUUAUGAAAGUGCAAGGAGUCCACUCUGGGCCAUCAGCAAGUCACAUCCUCAGUUUGGACAUUAUUCUGCUUAAGAGAAUCUAUGCAGUAAAUUACUUCACUCCAAAAGAAAAUUAGCAGAGGACUGAAACAGCAGAACAGGAGGAUGUUUUUAAAGGACAGGCUAAAAGAGUCAGAGACGAGCAGCAUCGCUGACAAAAAUGAAAGUUUGCAAGAUACCUGAAAACUUGAAACUGAGCAUUUGAAGAGAUUGACACCUCUGAUGGCUGAGCUGGCAGCCUCAUGACACUAGUGCCUCAAGAAAUGCAGAAGAUGCUAUCUCGACAUUCUGGUGACAUCUUGGAUCACAGACAUCGUAGUGAUCAAACAGCUGGUGCAGUGCAGUGACAUCAGCAUAUUCUAGACUGUUUAAGAUCUGAUUA